GGCGAACGGGUGAGUAACACGUGAGCAACCUACCCAUCACAUCGGGAUAACUUCGGGAAACCGAAGCUAAUACCGAAUACGACCACCUCAGGCAUCUGACGGUGGUGGAAAGUUCCGGCGGUGAUGGAUGGGCUCGCGGCCUAUCAGCUUGUUGGUGGGGUAGUGGCCCACCAAGGCUUCGACGGGUAGCCGGCCUGAGAGGGUGACCGGCCACACUGGGACUGAGACACGGCCCAGACUCCUACGGGAGGCAGCAGUGGGGAAUAUUGGACAAUGGGCGAAAGCCUGAUCCAGCAACGCCGCGUGAGGGAUGACGGCCUUCGGGUUGUAAACCUCUUUCAGCAGGGACGAAGCGAAAGUGACGGUACCUGCAGAAGAAGCACCGGCCAACUACGUGCCAGCAGCCGCGGUAAUACGUAGGGUGCGAGCGUUGUCCGGAAUUAUUGGGCGUAAAGGGCUCGUAGGCGGUCUGUCGCGUCGGGAGUGAAAACUCAGGGCUUAACCCUGAGCCUGCUUCCGAUACGGGCAGACUAGAGGUAUGCAGGGGAGAAUGGAAUUCCUGGUGUAGCGGUGAAAUGCGCAGAUAUCAGGAGGAACACCGGUGGCGAAGGCGGUUCUCUGGGCAUUACCUGACGCUGAGGAGCGAAAGUGUGGGGAGCGAACAGGAUUAGAUACCCUGGUAGUCCACACCGUAAACGUUGGGCGCUAGGUGUGGGACUCAUUCCACGAGUUCCGUGCCGCAGCUAACGCAUUAAGCGCCCCGCCUGGGGAGUACGGCCGCAAGGCUAAAACUCAAAGGAAUUGACGG
rnacentral:rRNA from 1 species